AGCCUGAAGCGGAAGUGGAGAAAAGAUGGAGGGUGGUGGCUGGGACGUUGAAAUGAGCGCGCGAGUGAUUGGCUGGUGGACAGAAGGCACUGCAGCCUGAAAUGGCAGAGUCUGGUGCUGACGAUCCGCGAGAAGAUCAAUGCUGCCAUCCAGGACAUGCCAGAGAGCGAAGAGAUCGCCCAGCUGCUGUCUGGGUCCUACAUUCACUACUUUCACUGCCUAAGAAUCCUGGACCUUCUCAAAGGCACAGAGGCCUCCACGAAGAAUAUUUUUGGCCGAUACUCUUCACAGCGGAUGAAGGAUUGGCAGGAGAUUAUAGCCCUGUAUGAGAAGGACAACACCUACUUAGGUAAAGUGGCCCGGCCUGGGAGCCCUGGUAUCCAUGGGGAAGCCCACUCUCAGAGUUCUGAGAUACCAGGCUUAUAGGAGGCACAGUCUGUGA
rnacentral:sRNA from 1 species